UGCGCAGCAGCCGGGCCCGGGCCGGCGCUCGGUGAGGGGCGGGCGGGCUGUGGGCGCUGAGCCUGGAGGACUGGGAGUGAAUAACACGGGUUGCCAUUAACAGUGUUUGGCCUGUUAAUAACUCACAAAUAUUUGAGUUCUUAUUUCUGACGAGGAAUGGCUGGGGGAACUGGGUCUGGUCAGAGGAGAGAGACUAAGGGGGAGACCUCAUCAAUGUCCAUGGGUAUCUGAAGGAGGGUGUCAGAGUUUGGUCCAGGCUCUGCUUGUUGGUGCCAGGCAAUAGGACAAGAGGCAACAGACAGAAACUGGUGCACGGGAAGUUCCGCCUGAGUAGAAGGACGAAUCUCUACCAUGCAGGUGAUCACACAGUGGAAUAGGUUGCCCAGAGAGGCUGUGGAGUCUCCCUCACUGGAAAUACUCGAGAACCGUCUGGACACAAUCGAGUGCCAUGUGCCUUAGGAUAGCCCUGCGUGAGCAGGGAGGUUGGACCAGAUGUUCCACUAUGGUCCUUUCCAACCUGAACCAUUCUGCAGUAUGACUUUAGCUGUAUAAAUUUUACCUACACCAUGUAGCAAGGCUGUGCACACACACACGUACUCACGUACAGGCUCCUUGCUAAGAAAAAGAGAAGUGUGCUUGGUAUUUUAAAAUCUGCUUUGUGACUUUUCAAAAGAAAGUGUAAAACACAGAGGGGAGGGUUUUUUCCCCAUGUAUUUACAGGCAAAUAGUAACAGCUAAGAAGAGGUUUUUACUGAAAAUUCAGAAAAGUUAUCCACAUUAUGUGUGUAUGGAUGCAGCUAAAUACAGAUACAUGCAUGUACCUUAAAGUAUUAGCUUUAGUCAUAUUUGGGUGGAUUUCAUUGGUUUUCAGUAGGUGUCACUAAAGCUCCAAAAUAAUCCAGAUUUUCAUUCUUCUGGCCGUUUUCUGAAGUUUUGAAUCUACCAAGUUUCAUCACACCACUCUUGCAGAAGUGCACAAUCUAAUCUGAUCCACUCAAUCCGGAGUAUUCGGAUGUACCCGGAGGAUUCAGAUUAUCUCUGCAUAUAUCUGUGCAAAGGCUGGACUUUCCUCUUCCUUGUGAGAAGUGCCCGGUGAGUGUCUCGUUGCUGUCAGCCGUGUGCGGGUGUGGUGCGCACCCUGCGGCAGGAGGAGAGCAGCAAUGACCCCUCCUGGACCGCAGCCUGCAAAUGGAUUUUUCGUCUGCACCCAGCAGCAACAACUCCCUGCAGUAUGUCUGUACUGCCAACCCAGCGACAGCUGGAAUGGCAGAGCUGGAUUUUCACAAGAGACUACAAACAGAACUCAGCAAAGAGCAUCUACAGAGACUGAGGGGGUGAUUGUGGCUGCCUUAGAGUCUAUUCAGCAAGUAAGAAUCUUCUGGCUGUACUGGACCCUUGGAAGACCCUUGGAGUUGCAGCUCAGCAACCCACACUGGUGUGGGUGUGUGAUGGAGCCCUCCUUACUGGAGUCAUUGCCCUGCAGUGGCCGUGUGGACUUGCUUGGAAGGAGUGCAAUGAUUCCUACUGCUGAACCUGUCCUGGGCAUGUGCUGCAGCUCUGCCAGAGAAAUAGAGGUUUGUGAUCUCCCAGUGUUUAAGGUGCAGCUGGGUCCAAAGCACGGCACAAACGUGGCCAUGAUUUACUGUUUGAGCUAUUGUGCCCCAGAAUGCCAGGAAGGGACACAAACUUACCAGCUUUGUCAGCUCCUGUGUCCACAACGGUGUCUGGGCUCUGCAGUGUUCUUGUGCCUCUCCCAGAUUUGCAGUUUGGCUGUAAAUGUUAUUCUGGGUUUUUUUUCAAGGAAACCCUCUCUUCCCCCCAAAACUUAAGAGCUAUUUAAACAGUUGCAGGCAAUUAAGCAUGUGCCAUCCUCACACCCUUCCCCCACUGCUGAUACAGUUGAAUGCUCAUUCAAACAAGCCAAUGAUAUUUUUGUUUCAUACCAGCUAAAAUAAUAAUAAUCCAAAACACAGUAUUUCUUUAAUUCCAAAAUUUAUACAAGUUUUCAAAUCAAUAUACCACCACACAAAGUAGGGAAAGGAAGAGAAGAUAUGUUUAGCAACAUUUUAACAUUUUACUGUAUCAUAAUGUUCAAAUAUUGUUAAAUUUGACAUAGUAUUGCAAAAAAUUUUUUAAUAUAAAGAAUUUAUGUUUGAACAAGAAGAUACAGAUAAUGCCAUUGCUUUCUUUGUUUUUAUCCAAUGCAAUAUGUAGCUUCUACAAAAUAUUGGUGAAAUGCUGUAUCUAGUUCAUAUGAGCUUUAUUUCCAUUAAAAUCUUGAAAUGAAAUGGGAACAUGAAGUGAAACAAGUAAUUAUGAAAGUUCAUAAAUAGAAACCUGUUUGAACAUAACAGCAAAUAUACGUUAAUUUCACUCAAUUUCUCCCUUUCUCUCUAUAGAUACAGUUUCAUAAGUUUUGGUGGGGCUUUUUGUUCCGAUUUCUGUUACAAAAGAAGUUUCAACCUAUUCUGGAGACUUUUUUUUUUUAAUUUGACCUUCAAAAUAUUUUUGUAUCAACCUUAUAAAAUCUUUCAGAAUAUAUUUUUUUCUUUUCAUCAUAAUCUAUGUCCCAUCAGUGAAUAUUGCAGUGACCUUGGUAUAAUAAGAAUACAGAUAGCAACAAUAAUGGAACUAAAUGUGGACGAUCCUAAAGGCAGGAGGCAAGUUUACUCAUAUCUGUUUUUUCACCCUGAGUAUAUUUUCAGUUUAGUUUACAACAAUGGCACAGGUCUUAACUUCUGAAGAUCAUUAAAACCAGAGGACGUGAAUGUGUUAAACACACGGUUCAUGUGCACCUGACAGUCUCAUGCAAAUGUAGGCUUUUAGCUUGGUUUAUCAUUAAAGCAUUAACAGACAUUAAGACAGGGGCCAAUAUUCUGGUCUCUGCUUGGGAUGUCAGCAGUGCUCAGACAGGGCUGUGCUGCCAGAUACCCAGGUGACAGUGUGGCUCUUCGUACCCUGACUCCAAGCCCUCCCAGCUGCAGAGAGGGAGUUUUGUUUGAUUCCCAUGCUGCCAGACUGUGUUUUCAGUCUGUUGCUGGCUGGAUCUUCUUGUGCUUUAUGAUGAUACAAAAUCGGGACUCAGACUGUGUUUAUAGUCAAGUUAAGUAGCUGUUAAUUUGAAACAAAUUCUCUCAUGUAGCUGUUGUAUUAUUAAUACAGGUCUGAGUUUGAAGGAUCUCUGCAGGAAACCAACCACUCAUUUCACCUGGAAGGAGAGGUCUAAUGUCUAUAAUAUCAGGGAUACUUCUUCAUUUCACAGCUUUUAUUUGGAUUUCAAGUUAAAAAUGGGUGCUUAUGUGAUGUGGUUUUUCCAUGCCAGCACUGAGGUUGUGGUGCUUCUCCAAGAAGUGCUCAGGUUGGCCCAAGCAGAUGGUGGGGCUGUCCUGCCCCACACCACAUCAGAGGUUGGUGAAGUUCACCACAGCAAGGGACAUCCACAACUGUAGGUAAAUGAUAAACCCAACAAAUAAAUGCAGUCUUGUAGAACAACAAAUAGCCAUGAAUACUUACAACGAUUUUGAAGAGAUGUUGCUUCUGGUCCUAACAUGUUUCAAAUCACCAGCUGAAAUUGUAUUAUCUUAAAUAAUCAUUAGCAUUUAAUUUUUUUGUACUUGUUGAGUCAACAUAUAUUGCACAAUUCAAAAAAAUCCAGAUAGACUGUAUCUGAGUUAUAAAGACUAAUAUGUAUUACCUGAAAGAAGAGAGAGACGAGACACUCUAGAACCAUUUCAAAUUUUUAUGUGAAGAAGAAAAUAGUGUUUGAUUAAGUAUCCAUUCUUUUUCACCCACAGCAACAUGCUGUGUUCUGUGAUUAUACUGAUAAAUAUUAUAUGUGAAAUCAUUUCAGAAACCACUACUUCAAGCUGCUCAUUUUCUCUUUCUGUGGAUGGUGGAACACAGGUAUCGUGUAUGUAAGGUUUGUCAUAUAUGAUGGAUGACAUUUAAGUGAUUUGUCCAACUUGAUAAAAAUUAUCGUCCUGAUUCCUCUUAGCCAACUGGCCUGUACUAUACUUUGCAUGAAAAGUGCCAUUUUCUCUUUGCAUGUUUAACAUAUUUUUCUUUUUAACUCUACAAUUUUUAACUCAUAAAUUUAAUUUCUCAGGACUUACCCUGAUUUUUCUCUUUAGAAGGUAGGCAGCGCCAUAACAGGUAUAUGGUGUAAUAUUUCCAAUGGGUUGUUGAUGCAACUGGAAAACAUUUGAAAUUAUCAGUACAGAGGACUAGGAGAGGCAGCAGAAAUUGACUUCAGGCUUCUUAAAGCAAACUUGCUUCGCUGCACAUGGUGACAUACUAAAUUCUCAUUAUUUUUUAUUGCAUGGACAACACUUUACAGCUGGUUUUUUUUUUCUGCCAGGUGAUAUUUAGAAUACAAAAAUAGUAUAUUCAAUUCUAUGUCUCUGUGUGGAUACAAUACACUAUGGAUAGUUUGGAGUUCUGCUAGCUCUUAUAAUAAUCUUACGUAGUAUACUACAUAAGUUCCCAUAAGCUCUAGUUCUGCUACCUCUUAUAAUAAUCUUACGUAGUAUACUACGUAAGUUCCCAUAAAGGUAGCUCUUUUUGCCCAGUUACAUAAAUGUGCUUAAUUAGUUUGCUGAACUGUGGGCCACACAAUGCAUCUGAUUAUUAUCAAAAUAGUAAGAAAUUAAAAAUUAACUCAGCAUCUCUACCAAGGCUAGAGUCAUGCAACUAGAAAUGGCUUGGAGGCAAUACUUUGAAAAAACCCCUCCAACCCCGGAAGGAAGAUAGGGAAAGCCUAAGUGAUAACUCAUCUACAUAACUUUAGCUUGAAGAAGUCUGAGCCAGAAGUUGUAUUCUCAUCUUUGUGUUCUUGCUCUUAAAACAGUAAGACUGGCACAUGACUUUCCAUCCAUGAUCCAGGCCUAGUAUAGAGAAGUCUUCUUGCAAAGUCAAUUUUUUCACUUCAUCCUAAGAGUUUAACAAAUUUUAGUUUGCUUGUAUAACCAUAACUUGGCAUGGUGGUGGAGCUGCUGUCUUAUAUAAAAUAUUUAUAGUCUGACCUUACCUUUGUCCGAGUUAUUCUGCCUAUGCAACAGCUGUCUUUCUGUCUUCAGCAUCUUGGCUGCUUUCAAAUGUUUCAAUGUGAUUAAUGCAACACUGAGAUCUAUUUAAUUGCUCCACUAUUUUCCUUUGAUGUGAAAUACUGUGUUUUAUAUUUCAAAGCCAACAUAGUAGACCUUUGUAUGAUUUUGGACACCCAUUCCUAAAUUUGGCAACAUCAGCAAAAAGAAAUUUAAGUGGAACUAUUCUAGUGUAACUUUAAGUUUACUCUUCAAAUUCUAAAAAUAAAAAUUAGCAUUCUACCAGAAUUGCUGACAAACCUAAUGCCCUCCUAAUUCCUGUAUGAUUUAGUGCCAAGAAGACAUUUUCACUGCUUCCUUGAUGUCAAAGUGGUAUUUCUAUAUUUAUAAAAUGAUGGACUUUCCAGAAGCUUAUUUUCUGCAAAUGGAAUCCUAAUGGCUCUUAUUGAUUCCAUUAAAAAAGGAAGGUGCUGCUUCCUUUUCUUUGCUACAAGCAUGUAGAUUACUUUUUUUAUUUGGUUAUUGAUAUUUUGUGGCUUGUGCAUCACUAGAUUUUCACAAAAAUGUAAUGGAUCCUAACAGUCAUUUAAAUCUUACCUUUUUUAAACAAGGUUUCCCAAUGUCUUUAAAAAUAACAGAGUGACAGAGAGUGACUGUUGGAAAGCACUCUUCUGCUACUAGAAGCACUCUUCAUUAAAAUAAUCCACCUAAUUUAUGCAAACCUGGUCUUGUUGUAAAUAGCUCUAAAGAGGGAUAUCUAAUUUUAGCCACCAAAUUGCCUUCCUGCCUUUAGGCUGACAUCUCUAACAACAACCUUUAAUUUUAUAAACUAAACACAUUCCACAAGAAUCUAUCACAGGUUCUGAGGUAAAAAUCACAUCUACACAGACCUUUUAUUGCCGGAAAAAGAAAUACUUACACUUCAUAAUUAAAAACUGAACAGGACACAUAAAAGACAAAAAAUAAAUUGUACUAUGUACACACAUUAGAAAGGAUAAAUAGCAAAUAUAUUGUAAUACUGCAUUAAAUGUAUGCAUAUGUGAAUUCCAGAGCCUCCUCCCCCAAUGUUGUGUACACUAAUUCAAAGGAUAAAUAAGUGCUAAUAUAGGACAGAGAAUUUCUUAGUGUAAACAAUGCCACAGGCUUUUUAAUAGGCCUUUGGGCCAACUUAGAAAAAAACAUGUAUUGCCUUUCACACUCCAUACCACUUAAUUUUAAUAGUACUCUAUUCACAUGUAAAAUUUCAAGAUAGUAUAAAAAAUUAGGAAUCUAAGAAGCAUUCUUCACACUCAACAAAAACUGGAGAUAAUUAAAGGAUUUUUCUUUCACUUUUAAAGGACCACUAGCUGAAGACAUACUGAUUAGUCUGGGAGUUCUUCCUCAAAGCAGUGCAAGAGUCCUUAAAUGUAAAAAGUUACAUUAGGAAUCACCGCUCAGGCCUAUUAAUAAAGACUUCUGUGCCUAAUUUCAAUUCUGACUUUGGGUUCACACUAGCAUGAUGUCGAAGUUGUCACCACUGCCUGCCAUGGAUGACAAAGAUAAUGAUCCCUCUGGUUUGAAUGGCAAGUGACAGACAGCAAGGAGUGUUUCUAAACACAAAGCAUUUCAUUGCACUCAUAGUGUCACAUUAUUUGUCCUUCAAAUCCUGUUUAUGUAUCUUUGAAGAUCCAGAGUAUGUCAACAUUAAAAAACCAAAAAAUAUAUUACUUGUUCUGUAUGAAUGUUCCAUGUGUUUUCCUGAAGCAUGCGCACUGGAAUUUAAAAAAAGACAGUUGAGUUAUACUAAUUUCUGGCAACUGUAUUUACUGGCACCAAAGAAAAUGAUAGUUCUUCCUAAAGUACUGAUGACACGAGGACUUAUGGCUUGCUAUCUUUUUAAGACAGGCUGCAGCCACUAAAAAACCUACAUGCACAGUUGCUUACACUCUAUUUCUUUUUUAAAAUAAUUAUUUCCACUGGCCAAGUGCAUUGUUGAGCAGUCCCAUCCAUUCCACUUAUCUCUGUGGACUGACAAACAAAGGCUCUUUUCCCCCAGCUCUCAGUUCUUUUGCCAC